rnacentral:lncRNA from 1 species
AUAAGUAUUUACACCUUUUCAAUUCAUAUUCCCAUUGAAAAACCCAACAGCCAGGCGGCUGGGUUUCUUUGGUAAUCCAACAGACCCUUGCUAUUUGUUAUUUUAGUUUCCUUUUUUAUUUUUUGUUCCAAUCUAGUAGGGUUUAUAUGUUUAGGUUGUUAUUUAAAUGAUAACUAAUUAUAAGUGGUUUGGUGGAGAAGGGUAGUAUCAUAGUCUUGAGUGGGGUGGGUUCAAUACCCGGGUAUGUUGCUUUGGUUUUCUAACACUUUGAUUUUUUUUCUCCAUAUUUUCUUUAAUUCUCACAUUUAAUUAUCUAGCCUUAUCAUUUAACUAACAUGUUUCUAUCAUUUAUUCAUUUUUUUAUUAUUUUAUUUUUAAUAUGACUUAUGUGAUUAUUCAUUUUUUUUUUAGGAUUUAUGUGAAU